rnacentral:sRNA from 1 species
GACAUGGGGGGCGUCUUUGAACCAGACAUGCUGCGGGUCACACAAAGUUACCACAGACUUCAGACAGACUUUGGUACCAGAGGACAAGGGCCUGUGGAAGGCUGGGCCAUGACUGUAAAGAUCCAGAUUGGUAGCUCUGGAAGGGUGAACUCCAACUCAGCCACUUUUUAGGAUUGAAAGAGAUUUCAAGUGUUCACGGAGAUGGCCAAAGGACGUCGUACCCUUAGAGCUCUCCUGAGUGGUCUAUCUCGCAUGAAUCUUCCGGUGU